CUAUACAUGCAAGUCGAGCGGACAGAUGGGAGCUUGCUCCCUGAUGUUAGCGGCGGACGGGUGAGUAACACGUGGGUAACCUGCCUGUAAGACUGGGAUAACUCCGGGAAACCGGGGCUAAUACCGGAUGGUUGUUUGAACCGCAUGGUUCAGACAUAAAAGGUGGCUUCGGCUACCACUUACAGAUGGACCCGCGGCGCAUUAGCUAGUUGGUGAGGUAACGGCUCACCAAGGCAACGAUGCGUAGCCGACCUGAGAGGGUGAUCGGCCACACUGGGACUGAGACACGGCCCAGACUCCUACGGGAGGCAGCAGUAGGGAAUCUUCCGCAAUGGACGAAAGUCUGACGGAGCAACGCCGCGUGAGUGAUGAAGGUUUUCGGAUCGUAAAGCUCUGUUGUUAGGGAAGAACAAGUGCCGUUCAAAUAGGGCGGCACCUUGACGGUACCUAACCAGAAAGCCACGGCUAACUACGUGCCAGCAGCCGCGGUAAUACGUAGGUGGCAAGCGUUGUCCGGAAUUAUUGGGCGUAAAGGGCUCGCAGGCGGUUUCUUAAGUCUGAUGUGAAAGCCCCCGGCUCAACCGGGGAGGGUCAUUGGAAACUGGGGAACUUGAGUGCAGAAGAGGAGAGUGGAAUUCCACGUGUAGCGGUGAAAUGCGUAGAGAUGUGGAGGAACACCAGUGGCGAAGGCGACUCUCUGGUCUG
rnacentral:rRNA from 1 species